UGUAUUUUUCUUUUGUUUUUGGUCACGAACACGCACGCAUAGCUUACAAUCUGUCUUUAAUUGGAGAAAUCACAUUAUUAUUCAUAAUCAGCCUCUUCCACAUGUUCCGUGACAAGGCACAAGGUUAAUUGUUCAAAAGGAAUCUACGAAAACAUUCAUUAGGAAACAGCCGCUUCUCGGGGAGAAAGUAAGGUUUUUUUUUUUGUUGUUAAGAAGG